UACAGAGGGGGCAAGCGUUGUUCGGAAUUACUGGGCGUAAAGGGCGCGUAGGCGGCCUGCUAAGUCGAACGUGAAAUCCCCGAGCUCAACUCGGGAACUGCGUCCGAUACUGACAGGCUUGAAUCCGGGAGAGGGAUGCGGAAUUCCAGGUGUAGCGGUGAAAUGCGUAGAUAUUGGGAGGAACACCAGUGGCGAAAGCGGCUACCUGGACCGGAACUGACGCUGAUGCGCGAAAGCGUGGGUAGCAAACAGG
rnacentral:rRNA from 1 species